AUGGGCCAGAUUAUUUGGGCCUUUGAAAUGAAGUUUCUAGACUGGUAUGUGAAGAUUGGGACAGUUUCGGCUUUGAUUGGAGGUUCCAUGGAAUUGUUCAUGAUUAAAUCGGGCUUCUAUGAUAAAGUAGCAGUUAUAGAAUCGGAGAGGCUGGCUUGGGAAAACUCGCCUGAGGCUCAGGCAAUUAGAGAAGCCCUAAAUCCUUGGAGGAACAGCGAUGCUGCUACCGAGGCUGGGAAAGAAAACUAAUGCUUCAACUGCUAAAUUGGGUAGCUGAGUUUUGCAAGGUAGAGAAAAACAAUUACAAGGGAAUCAGAUUGAGAGAUAAUCAAGCACGUGAUUUAAAGUUUCAAAUAAUAAGGGGUGGAAUUUUAGAAAGCUGUUUCUUUAUGACAUUGGAGGUUUACUUUUGAUUGUUUCCAUAUUGAAAUUGAAUGAUAUCACUAAGCUGAAGGUAUGAUAAUUCAAUUCAUUACCAAACUCUCUCUGUUCCCAUAUAGUUUGAAACCAUAUUAGAGAAUCAUAAUCCCAUAUUCAGGACUGUCAUUAUGCCUCUUGGACUAUAGUCCUUUGGUUAUUCUACUUUUGAUUCAAAACCUA